rnacentral:rRNA from 1 species
UAAGGCCGUUAUAGCGCAAGGGAUCCACCUCUUACCAUUCCGAACAGAGAAGUUAAACCUUGCUACGCCGAUGGUACUGCCAAAGCGGGAGAGUAGGAAGCGGCCACCU